rnacentral:rRNA from 1 species
AGUGAACGCUGGCGGUAGGCCUAACACAUGCAAGUCGAACGGCAGCACAGUAAGAGCUUGCUCUUACGGGUGGCGAGUGGCGGACGGGUGAGGAAUACAUCGGAAUCUACUUUUUCGUGGGGGAUAACGUAGGGAAACUUACGCUAAUACCGCAUACGACCUACGGGUGAAAGCAGGGGAUCUUCGGACCUUGCGCGAUUGAAUGAGCCGAUGUCGGAUUAGCUAGUUGGCGGGGUAAAGGCCCACCAAGGCGACGAUCCGUAGCUGGUCUGAGAGGAUGAUCAGCCACACUGGAACUGAGACACGGUCCAGACUCCUACGGGAGGCAGCAGUGGGGAAUAUUGGACAAUGGGCGCAAGCCUGAUCCAGCCAUACCGCGUGGGUGAAGAAGGCCUUCGGGUUGUAAAGCCCUUUUGUUGGGAAAGAAAAGCAGCAGGUUAAUACCCCGCUGUUCUGACGGUACCCAAAGAAUAAGCACCGGCUUACUUCGUG